CCCAUCUCGUACCAGUAUCUCCCGAGGCAACCCUGACCUCCACCCCACACGUCCGUUGAAACAACAAAAACAAAAACAACAACAACAAAAACACUCCCAUGACUUGCCGGAAUAGACGCGGGAAUUUAAUCGGCAUUUCCGUCAUCUGGCAAGCUUGUGAAAAUUCCUGAGUGUGUUAUCAUUGGUGCGUCUGACGGAGCCCACACUUGUUGUUGUUGUUGUUGUUAAUAGCGAGUUUUAUAGAGUGCGUAGCCAAGUCUGGGGUGCGCGGUCCAGUUGCGUGAGACAUCUGGUGGCCACUCCGUAAAACAUCGCGUAUAAGAGAAAAAAUCGUACCCCAUAGCACUCACCCAGGCCGACGAGGAGCAGCACGAACGCGGCAGCCACCACACGCCACUUCUCCCGUACUUUGGGAUGCCGGAACCACCACUGGGAGGAGCCAUAGCCUGCCCCGCCACCCCCGCCGCCUCCGUCCCCUGGGAUGAGCAGGACCAUUAGGCUCUUCCCGCCCCCUGAGUCGGCCCCCCGCGCGCCCCCUGAGUCCUCCAUGGCGGUGCCCCCCUUGGGUUUGAGGGGCGAGCGCUCAGUGGUUGCGCCGUACAUCCGCAC